rnacentral:tRNA from 5 species
GGGGCUAUAGCUCAGGUGGUUAGAGCGCUUCACUGAUAAUGAAGAGGUCCCAGGUUCAAGUCCUGGUAGCCCCAC